UACGUAGGGUGCGAGCGUUAAUCGGAAUUACUGGGCGUAAAGCGUGCGUAGGCGGUUUGCUAAGACCGAUGUGAAAUCCCCGGGCUCAACCUGGGAACUGCAUUGGUGACUGGCAGGCUAGAGUAUGGCAGAGGGGAGUAGAAUUCCACGUGUAGCAGUGAAAUGCGUAGAGAUGGGGAGGAAUACCGAUGGCGAAGGCAGCCCGCUGGGCCAAUACUGACGCUCAGGCACGAAAGCGUGGGGAGCAAACAGG
rnacentral:rRNA from 1 species